rnacentral:rRNA from 1 species
AUUGAACGCUGGCGGCAGGCCUAACACAUGCAAGUCGAGCGGAUGAAGGGAGCUUGCUCCUGGAUUCAGCGGCGGACGGGUGAGUAAUGCCUAGGAAUCUGCCUGGUAGUGGGGGAUAACGUCCGGAAACGGGCGCUAAUACCGCAUACGUCCUGAGGGAGAAAGUGGGGGAUCUUCGGACCUCACGCUAUCAGAUGAGCCUAGGUCGGAUUAGCUAGUUGGUGGGGUAACGGCCUACCAAGGCGACGAUCCGUAACUGGUCUGAGAGGAUGAUCAGUCACACUGGAACUGAGACGAGGUCCAGACUACUACGGGAGGCAGCAGUGGGGAAUAUUGGACAAUGGGCGAAAGCCUGAUCAAGCCAUGCCGCGUGUGUGAAGAAGGUCUUCGGAUUGUAAAGCACUUUAAGUUGGGAGGAAGGGCAGUAAGUUAAUACCUUGCUGUUUUGACGUUACCAACAGAAUAAGCACCGGCUAACUUCGUG